rnacentral:rRNA from 1 species
CAGCCGCCGCGGGAAUACGGAGGGUGCAAGCGUUAUCCGGAUUUAUUGGGUUUAAAGGGUCCGUAGGCGGAUCUGUAAGUCAGUGGUGAAAUCUCACAGCUUAACUGUGAAACUGCCAUUGAUACUGCAGGUCUUGAGUAAAUUUGAAGUGGCUGGAAUAAGUAGUGUAGCGGUGAAAUGCAUAGAUAUUACUUAGAACACCAAUUGCGAAGGCAGGUCACUAAGAUUUAACUGACGCUGAUGGACGAAAGCGUGGGGAGCGAACAGGAUUAGAUACCCGCGUAGUCCCUGUCUCUUAUAA